AACGAACGCUGGCGGCAUGCCUAACACAUGCAAGUCGAACGAAACCUUCGGGCCUAGUGGCGCACCGGGGCGUAACGCCUGGGAAGCUGCCCUUAGGUUCGGAAUAAUUCCCCGAAAGGGGUGCUAAUACCGGUUAAUGUCAUCGGACCAAAGAUGUAUCGCCUUAGGAUGGGCCCGCGUUGGUUUAGCUAGUUGGUAGGGUAAAAGCAUACCAAGGCGACGAUGCAUAGCUGGUCUGAUAGGAUGAUCAACCACACUGGGACUGAGACACGGCCCACACUCGUACGCGGAGGAGCAGAGGAGAAUACUGGACAAUGGGCGCAAGCGUAAUCCAGCCGUGCCGCGUGAGAGAUGAAUGCGUUAGGGUUGUAAAGCUCCUUUAGCCGGGAUGAUAAUGACAGUACCGGGAGAAUAAGCUCCGGCUAACUACGUG
rnacentral:rRNA from 1 species